UUUGCAUUUGAAGCCGAGAGGAUGAGAACCUCCGGGGGCAAGAGGUUCGACUCGAGCGGAGCGAGAGAACGUUGCGUCAGCAACGGCCCGCAGGGCGAGCGACGUAGUGGCGAGUCAUCCUCUAUCACCGACCA
rnacentral:sRNA from 1 species